rnacentral:rRNA from 1 species
GUGGGGAAUCUUAGACAAUGGGGGAAACCCUGAUCUAGCCAUGCCGCGUGAGCGAUGAAGGCCUUAGGGUUGUAAAGCUCUUUCAGCUGGGAAGAUAAUGACGGUACCAGCAGAAGAAGCCCCGGCUAACUCCGUGCCAGCAGCCGCGGUAAUACGGAGGGGGCUAGCGUUGUUCGGAAUUACUGGGCGUAAAGCGCGCGUAGGCGGACCAGAAAGUUGGAGGUGAAAUCACAGGGCUCAACCUUGGAACUGCCUUCAAAACUCCUGGUCUGGAGUUCGAGAGAGGUGAGUGGAAUUCCGAGUGUAGAGGUGAAAUUCGUAGAUAUUCGGAGGAACACCAGUGGCGAAGGCGGCUCACUGGCUCGAUACUGACGCUGAGGUGCGAAAGCGUGGGGAGCAAACAGGAUUAGAAACCCUGGUAGUCC